rnacentral:rRNA from 1 species
GAUUAACGCUGGCGGCGUGCAUAACACAUGCAAGUCGAACGAUGAAACUUUACUGACUUCUUCGGAAAGAUUUAAAGCGGAUUAGUGGCGGACGGGUGAGUAACACGUGAGUAACCUGCCUUACACAAGGGGAUAGCCGUUGGAAACGACGAAUAAUACCCUAUGAAACUAUCACCUCGCAUGAAGCGAUAGUCAAAGUGUUAGCGGUGUAAGAUGGACUUGCGUCUGAUUAGCUAGUUGGUGAGAAAAAAGCCCACCAAGGCAACGAUCAGUAGCCGGCUUGAGAGAGUGUACGGCCACAUUGGGACUGAGACACGGCCCAG